UUGAUGUAUUGGGUGAUCGCUCCUAAUAAUACAAAACAUUACUUGGGGGAGGAAAGUCCGAACACCUCAGACAGUCUGAAUGGAUAACGGCUAACAGCCGCCAUGACCGGGAAAGUGUCACAGAAACAAUACCGCCGAUCGUCAUCAAAAAGACCCUAAAGGUUUUUAGGAUGAAGGAGGCAAGGGUGAAAAGAGUGAGGUAAAAGCUCACAGCGCGUACCGGCAACGAUACGCGGUGAAAAACUCCUAUCCGGUGCAAGGUAAUCCGCGAUUGCGGAAAAUCCGCUUGAGCCAAACGAGUAAUCUUUGGCCCAGAUAAAUGAUCAUCUCCGCAAAAAUAUAAAAAUUUUUGCGGAACAGAAUUCGGCUUAUAGAUGCAUCAAGGAU
rnacentral:RNase_P_RNA from 2 species